GAGGGUAUAGCUCAGUGGUAGAGUGCAUGCUUAGCAUGCAUGAGGUCCUGGGUUCAAUUCCCAGUACCUCCA
rfam:Camelus ferus unplaced genomic scaffold scaffold715, whole genome shotgun sequence.